rnacentral:rRNA from 1 species
UACGUAGGGUGCAAGCGUUAAUCGGAAUUACUGGGCGUAAAGCGUGCGCAGGCGGUUUUGUAAGACCGAUGUGAAAUCCCCGGGCUUAACCUGGGAACUGCAUUGGUGACUGCAAGGCUUGAGUGUGUCAGAGGGAGGUGGAAUUCCGCGUGUAGCAGUGAAAUGCGUAGAUAUGCGGAGGAACAUCAGUGGCGAAGGCGGCCAUCUGGGACAACACUGACGCUGAAGCACGAAAGCGUGGGGAGCAAACAGG